GGGCCUGUAGCUCAGUUGGUAGAGCGCGUGCUUUGCAAGCAUGAGGUCUCGGGUUCGAUCCCCGACGGGUCCA
rnacentral:tRNA from 1 species